GAGGAAAAGGAAAGGAAAAAAGAAAAGGAAGGGGGUGAGGGUUAAAAAAAAAAUGAAAAUUCCCAAAAUUGGUUGGGGUUUCUCCUUGAGGAGGGAAGCCAGUCCGGUGACCACCUUGGCUCCUCCCAUCUCCACGCUCUUCGGCCUCACC